rnacentral:rRNA from 1 species
GGCGUGCCUAACACAUGCAAGUCGAGCGAGGAGAUUCCUUCGGGAUGAUCCUAGCGGCGGACGGGUGAGUAACACGUGGGCAACCUGCCUCAUAGAGAGGAAUAGCCUUCCGAAAGGGAGAUUAACCUACUCAUAACAUUGCAGUUUCGCAUGGAACAGCAAUUAAAGGAGCAAUCCGCUAUGAGAUGGGCCCGCGGCGCAUUAGCUAGUUGGUGAGGUAACGGCUCACCAAGGCGACGAUGCGUAGCCGACCUGAGAGGGUGAUCGGCCACAUUGGGACUGAGACACGGCCCAGACUCCUACGGGAGGCAGCAGUGGGGAAUAUUGCACAAUGGGGGAAACCCUGAUGCCAGCAACGCCGCGUGAGUGAUGACGGCCUUCGGGUUGUAAAGCUCUGUCUUCAGGGACGAUAAUGACGGUACCUGAGGAGGAAGCCACGGCUAACUACGUGCCAGCCGCCGC